GAUAGUAGAUGAAAUCUUGAGUUGUUGGAAAUUAGCAUUUGCAACAUAAUCAUGGAAUAAUUUAUUUAUGAUGAACAAUGAUGAAUCCUUUGGUCAAAUAUUUUUAAAAUAGGUCUAGGAAAAUUCAGAAGCCAAAAUCAAGUCAAUAGUCAAUAGUUAACCAAAAGUCAAUUGUUGACUAAAAGUCAACUAUACCUAAAUUUUGCAGUUUUUUUUGUAAUUGAUACUUUCCUUGUAAUAAAGCUUGU
rnacentral:lncRNA from 1 species